GCUCACUUCCGCAGCAUACACUAAAAUUGGAAUGAUACAGAGAAGAUUAGCAUGGCCCCUGAGCGCAAGAUUCAUCUGUGUGGUCGCUUGAAUCAAUAGCUUGUU